rnacentral:rRNA from 1 species
UACGGGGGGGUGCGAGCGUUGUCCGGAAUCACUGGGCGUAAAGGGCGCGUAGGUGGCCUGAUAAGGGUGUGGUGAAAGUCCGGGGCUUAACCCCGGAUCUGCCGUGCCGACUGUUAGGCUAGAGUGCUGUAGGGGCAGGCGGAAUUCCGGGUGUAGCGGUGGAAUGCGUAGAGAUCGGGUGGAACACCAGAGGCGAAGGCGGCGACCUGGACAAGUACUGACACUCAACAACGAAAGCGUGGGGAGCAAACAGG